GACGAACGCUGGCGGCGCGCUUAACACAUGCAAGUCGAACGGAAAGGCCUGCUUUCCCUUGUGGAUUGCGGGUACUCGAGUGGCGAACGGGUGAGUAACACGUGAGUGAUCUGCCCCCAACUUGGGUAUAAGCCUGGGAAACUGGGUCUAAUUCCCGAUAGGACUGCAGGGUGGUGCCUGUGGUGGAAAACGAUUUUCUAGUGGUUGGGGAUGAGCUCGCAGCCUAUCAGCUUGUUGGUGGGGUAAUGGCCUACCAAGGCGGCGACGGGUAGCCGGCCUGAGAGGGUGGACGGCCACAUUGGGACUGAGAUACGGCCCAGACUCCUACGGGAGGCAGCAGUGGGGAAUAUUGCACAAUGGGCGGAAGCCUGAUGCAGCGACGCCGCGUGGGGGAUGACGGCCUUCGGGUUGUAAACUCCUUUCGACCGCGAGGAAGCCACCUGGUUGGAAGGGUGGUGACGGUAGUGGUAGAAGAAGCACCGGCUAACUACGUG
rnacentral:rRNA from 1 species